UCCUACGGGGGGCAGCAGUGAGGAAUAUUGGUCAAUGGGCGGGAGCCUGAACCAGCCAAGUCGCGUGAGGGAAGACGGUCCUAUGGAUUGUAAACCUCUUUUGUCGGGGAGCAAAGAGACCACGUGUGGUCAAAAGCGAGAGUACCCGAAGAAAAAGCAUCGGCUAACUCCGUGCCAGCAGCCGCGGUAAUACGGAGGAUGCGAGCGUUAUCCGGAUUUAUUGGGUUUAAAGGGUGCGCAGGCGGAAGAUCAAGUCAGCGGUAAAAUUGAGAGGCUCAACCUCUUCGAGCCGUUGAAACUGGUUU
rnacentral:rRNA from 1 species